AUGAUUACAAAUAGGCUCAAGGAUUGGAUGGAUAUUAUUGUUGGUGAGGAGCAAAGUGCGUUUGUUCCCGGGCGCCUUAUAAUAGAUAAUGUUGUAGUUGCGUUCGAAAGUGUUCAUGCAAUGAGAAGAAGGAAGAAAGGAAAAUACUAUUCGUGUGCGGUGAAAUUAGACAUGAUGAAAGCCUAUGAUCGAGUGGAAUGGCAUUAUCUUCAGGCAAUUAUGUUGAAACUAGGCUUUAGCAUCAACUUUGUCAGACUGAUCAUGAAUGUGUGUCUUCGGUCAGAUUCUCAGUUCGUGUGA
rnacentral:rRNA from 1 species